UUCUUUUGUGUUUCGCUCCUUAACCUUUUCUUUCUUUCGUGUUUCGCUCUUCAACAAAAAGCCUAAACCUUUUUACCUGGUGGAAAGUUAUCAAAGAAGAUUUUUGUCCAAUGGGUUGAAGAAAGUUAAUCCGGCAGCAAUCCCAAAACCACCAUUUAGGAAAAAAAAACGAAAAUGCUAGCUUUUGAUUGGAUGAUUAGAGUAAACAAUGAAUUGAGAACUCCUUGUCCCUCAGGUAAUGAAGUAGAACUCUUCUGCAGCAAUUUGAGCGCGAUCUUUUCCUUUCAAAUCAGGAUUUGAACACCAAAUUUUGAGAGCAAUUUUUUCAUUUGAAAUCAGAGUUCAAAAUGACAUCCUCAAACGCCUCUACCACACCGAAGAUGUUCCUCAAGAUAUGAUGGAGAUGAGGGCAGAAAUCGUGGCGAUGCUGAAUUCGCUGUCGCUGCACCGCUGGCGGCUUUCGUUCAUAACCCGUCGGAUGUGCAGGAGUUGAAGGCUAACAAGGAAGAAUUGCGAGUAGAAAAGUUAAAGGACAAAGGAAGACUGGAAAUGGAAGACUGGAAAAGGCGUUAGUUGAAGAAGAGGGCAAAGGGAAAGGUCUGCGAGUUUGACGGUGUUGUAGUUGGUUGGUAUGCAUGCUGAGGUUGGUGAACGAAUCUUUCUGUGGGAGAGGAGGCUGAGACCCUGCAGCAACAGCGGCGGGUUUUGCCUUAGGAGUCGUGUUUAACCGAAGCACGACGCUGUGUUUGCUUUUGAUUUUACCUGCUUAGUGUUUCGGUGGAAUAACUGCUGUGUUUUCAAACUUUGGUUCGGGUUGUGGAUCUCUUGGUAAUGUGAAGGCCGAUGAGGUUUUCGAAGACACCGUUGCUGUUGUUGCUUGAGCUUUGAGAAGUUCUUCAUCGCUUAAGGUCUCUAAAGAUGAUAUGAUGAGGAGGCAAUAUUCUUUGAUGAAUCUAUUUUAGAAAUGUAAAACGAAAGCAAUUGGAGUCGAAGGCAUUGGAUUUUAUACUCACCAAAUAAAGGAAUGCAAGGAAAAUUUUAUAAAUGAAGUUCAUCAGAAUUUGAAGAAAGAAGGAAAAAAAAAGGAUAGAACAAUACUAUGAAGAAGAACUAAUAGGAUUACCAUGUCGGCUUCCCUGUGAUGAAAAGCUCCUGUCUGCUUAAGUGUUUUCUCCUAACUAAUGAAAAAGGAUAAUCUAACAUUGAUUGCAAAUCUUUUGGAUUGCACUUCAUGGUCAGGGAUGGACCAAGGCUAAUGGAUGCUUUUACUCAAGGUGCUCUGCAAGUAGGACCAGUUGGUGGAUUUGAGUUUUAGUCAUCUGAUAUAUCUUUGCCAUAAUGAUUUAAUUUAUGUCCUAUUAAAAUAGAAAUUCUCAUUGUAAUGGCUUUUUAUGUAAAUGAAGCUUAUUGAAGGAGGAUGUGAAGCUCCAAUCCACACGAUUUUUAGUGUUCAGCUACCGCAUGUUGGAGACAGUAGGUUCUUCUAUGGCAUUCCCUCAUUGAGUUUUUAGAAAUAUCUCAAAAACUGAAGAUAAUAUACAUGUAUGAGGUUUCAUGAUUUCUCAACCACUCCUAAUUUGAUUUUAUUUGAUUUGCUGUGCCUCAACUUUGUUAUGAACAUACCUAUUAAGAGAGUCUCAUUGCUAUUAUCAUUAUCUCCCCUUUGGCAAAGGAUGAUGUGGAGUUGGGGUGAGGUUCAAACAGCAACCGUGCCAAUUUUCUAUUUGUGUGUGUGUUUAUUCUUUAUCUUUUCUAUCACUAUUAUUAGUAUUUUUUAUUUGUGUUCA